AGAGUUUGAUCCUGGCUCAGAACGAACGCUGGCGGCAUGCCUAACACAUGCAAGUCGAACGAAGCCUUCGGGCUUAGUGGCGCACGGGUGCGUAACGCGUGGGAAUCUGCCCUUGGGUACGGAACAACAGUGAGAAAUUACUGCUAAUACCGUAUGAUGUCUUCGGACCAAAGAUUUAUCGCCCAGGGAUGAGCCCGCGUAGGAUUAGCUAGUUGGUGAGGUAAAGGCUCACCAAGGCUACGAUCCUUAGCUGGUCUGAGAGGAUGAUCAGCCACACUGGGACUGAGACACGGCCCAGACUCCUACGGGAGGCAGCAGUGGGGAAUAUUGGACAAUGGGCGAAAGCCUGAUCCAGCAAUGCCGCGUGAGUGAAGAAGGCCUUCGGGUUGUAAAGCUCUUUUACCCGGGAAGAUAAUGACCGUACCGGGAGAAUAAGCCCCGGCUAACUCCGUGCCAGCAGCCGCGGUAAUACGGAGGGGGCUAGCGUUGUUCGGAAUCACUGNGCGUAAAGCGUGCGUAGGCGGCCAUUCAAGUCAGAGGUGAAAUCCCAGGG
rnacentral:rRNA from 1 species